UACGGAUUCGACAGGGGUAGGUUGAGCUUAGGUUGCGCGUCGAGGUUACGGCUCGUAAAACGUUAUUCGCCUAAAUAUAACUGGCAAAGAAAACAACAACUUUGCUUUCGCUGCGUAAGCAGUCGUAAGCAGAUCCUUCCUGCUAUUGCCUGUGUGGCAGAUUGAAGGGUCUCAACUUUAGCAGGCUAUCCUGUCAUCCACCGUCUGAGGAUGAUUUGGGAAACCAAUCAGACUAGCUACCCGAAAGCCUGUUGGUAGGCUGUAGGGAUAGCGAAUGAUAAUAUACCAACUACACGUGUAGAAGCCUAAGUGGCAAUAUCUCUGGACGUGGGUUCGAUUA
rnacentral:tmRNA from 2 species